rnacentral:rRNA from 1 species
CUGCUGCCUCCCGUAGGAGUCUGGGCCGUAUCUCAGUCCCAAUGUGGCCGGCCAACCUCUCAGUCCGGCUACUGAUCGUCGCCUUGGUGGGCCGUUACCCCACCAACUAGCUAAUCAGACGCGAGGCCAUCUUCCAGCGAUAAAAUCUUUGGUGCCUCCGGGAUGCCCCGGCUGCACGUUAUGCGGUAUUAGCAGUCGUUUCCAACUGUUGUCCCCCUCUGGAAGGCAGGUUCCUCACGCGUUACUCACCAGUCCG